AUUGAACGCUGGCGGCAUGCUUUACACAUGCAAGUCGAACGGCAGCGCGGGCUUCGGCCUGGCGGCGAGUGGCGAACGGGUGAGUAAUGCAUCGGAACGUGCCCAGUAGUGGGGGAUAGCCCGGCGAAAGCCGGAUUAAUACCGCAUACGACCUGAGGGUGAAAGCGGGGGACCGAAAGGCCUCGCGCUAUUGGAGCGGCCGAUGUCGGAUUGGCUAGUUGGUGGGGUAAAGGCUUACCAAGGCGACGAUCCGUAGCUGGUCUGAGAGGACGACCAGCCACACUGGGACUGAGACACGGCCCAGACUCCUACGGGAGGCAGCAGUGGGAAAUUUUGGACAAUGGGGGCAACCCUGAUCCAGCCAUGCCGCGUGCGGGAAGAAGGCCUUCGGGUUGUAAACCGCUUUUGUUCGGGAAGAAAUCCUCUGGGCUAAUACCCCGGGGGGAUGACGGUACCGGAAGAAUAAGCACCGGCUAACUACGUG
rnacentral:rRNA from 1 species